CAGGGAACGCCAGGCGCCUUCCUGAUUGGCCGGGAGUGCUGUGGUCGGGUCCGCCUCCCCUGUCGGCCAGAAGCGCCUUCAGGAGGUAGUGGGAGGGAGGUGCCAGGCAUCUCCCCUCCAGCCCGGCCUGUGCCAUCAAAACUUUUCCCGCCCCCACUUAGCCUCCAUUAUGUUUUAUGAAAGCCAGAAGAUCUGAGGACAGACACCCUUCCUCCUCGUCAGCCUCACACCCCUUGCCUCUCCCCUCCACCUUCCCCAGCGCCUGAGUUUAACUCAAUCCCUGGCAGCCUUAGUCCCUGUUGUUAGAUUUCCUCACAGGGAGGCAGGAUUCCUUCCAGGUGAGGGUGAUACAAAGGAGAAUUGGACUGAGAGAACCAUCUGGCCUUCGAGGCAUCUAACAACUCUCCAGUCUUGUCUGACUCGAAUGGAGUCUUGCAGAGGAAGGGAACCUGAGAAACACUGCCUCGGGCGCAGCUUUGAAUUGAGGAAGUGAGCCUGGACAGACAACUUAAUAUCAUCCAGUUCUUGUCUUUUUUUUCUACGCUUCGUGCUGAAACAAGUUUGGCAGCGUUCUUGACAGUUAACGAGCCCGAUGCCCCUGUGUGAGCAGGAGCCAUGGAUCGUGUUUUCUUGUCGCCUACCCAGACAAAUGAAGGGAAGAGAAUGUUUGGGAGGAAGGAUGGCCUCUCCUUCCUGAAAAGAGGUGAGAACAAGAACUUGAAGAAUGCCAAGUGGUAAAAAGUGGAGAGAAACUAUCUAAAUAAAGGGCUUACAAAUAAAAUCACAAGAGCUUAUGCCACGAAUGAAGCGGGGAAAACUUUCUGCCCUCCAGAGAAACAGCUUCCAGCCCCAUAGCUCUCUCCCAUCCCAAUGUAUGUUUGUCUUGAAACCUUUGCUAAGAAUGGCUUACAUGGUCCAGCACUAGAGCCCACAGUCAAACAGCCUACAAGAGGACCAGUUUUGGGAAGAGCUGGACAUGGGGUACCCUCUGGUCAUCCCCAAAGCACUCACACAGGUAGGAAACAAGUCUCCUUCACAAGACACUUUUCUCUGACAUCCAACUUGCUGAUCCACCAAAAUUCACACAGGAGAGCAGCCACACCCUAAAAAUGGGUGGCGAGACCUCCAGCCACAGCUCUGACACCGUACACUGCCUGCACUCUUAUCAUGAGCCACAAGUCCCAGGUGUAGCAGAAGCUGGGCCAAGACUUCAUGCUGCCCAGGCACCCGCAUUUCCAAGUGCAAAUUCAGCCUCACUGGCACCUGGAGUAAGAGUGGCUCACUUCCAGCCAGCCUCCUCUAGGACCAGGGUGCCAUCUAUGCACAGGGACUUCACAAGGAAGCCAGCCUCCACCUGACACACAGCCACAGCAGUGAGAGGCUCCAAGCCCAGGAAAGCCUCUGAUAAGGGCUGCAUCUUGACCCAACACCAGCUAAUCCAAGGCAGGAGAAACUUGGGGAGUCCACUGGCAUUGUCCUGCCUCUGCAUCCAUGAGGAUGAGCCCUGUGCAUGUCCUGAGUCAGGUGGUCACUUUGUUCACAGCAUUAUCUCCUGGCAUGCCCAGCACUAGGGCAGAGCCAUUCAGUGUGCAGCCAAGGCUUAUGGUCAGCCAACCUGGCCAACACUGCAGGCCAGAGAGCCUUCACAGACGUUCUCAGUGAGAGGAGCUUCCGUAUGCACUGCUCCCUUCCCUCAUGCAAAGGACAAGCCCUCUUAAAGCCCUUCCAUCCGAUGCUAGAGGAGAUGCCCCAGUGUAUUGAACAUGAUCCUAAGUACCCAGGAAGACAGCAGCCACGGCACAGGGCCCUUUGGAAAGAACAAAGAAAUGGAGGUCUUUGUGUAUGCCUGACAUUGGGGACAGGCCCUGGGACCAACCACUACUCUUGCAAAACUAAGAGCAGUUUGAAAAUAAUGUUUUGUUCCCAGCCGUGGUUCUCUCAAACUUUCACAGCCAUAAAAUUCUAUCCCUGGAGAUUCUGAUUCAAUAGAUGAGGAACUGGGCCCAGGGAGUAGCUAGUUUUUUUUUUUUUUUU
rnacentral:lncRNA from 1 species